CUAUUCUUUCUCCUUUCAAAAUUACUCCAUUACUAAGUCCCAAAGUAUCAGCAAAAUCAAAAUAUGUUCUUAUCAUGUUGUCUAAAUCUUGUUUUCUUUUAGGCCAUCCAUUCAUAAUUUGCUUUGAUAAUUUAUUUAAUGUGUCAUCUAAGUCUGUUUCUUGUUUUAUUCUUUCUAAUAAUGGAUCCAGUAUGUCCACAACUUGUGUCUGGCAUAUGUUAAAAACUUCAUCUUGCUUCUCCUCUUGAUUGCACAGUCGUGAUAAUGUGUCAGCAAUGUGUAAACUGUUUCCUUCUACCCACUGAAAUGAGAAAUCAUAACGAUUGCUCCUUAACAUCAAGUUUUGUAAUCUUCUUGGAGCCUGGUUUAGAGGCUUCCUUAAGAUGUUUGCAAGUGGCUUAUGAUCAUUUAUUAUUAUGACAUGUCUUCCAAAUGUAUAUUGAUUAAAUCUUUCUAGCCCAAAAACCACUGCAAGUAGUUCUGUUUCAAUGAGCCCACCGUUUUUCAGUUGGUGUCAAUGCUCUAGAGGCAAAUUCUAUUGGUUGUCCUUCUUGCAUUAGUACAGCUCCAAGUCCAUGUUGACUACUGUCCACUUGUAUUUCCAGUUUCUUCUCAGGGUUGUAGAAUAUAAAAACUGGAGUAUUGGUAAUCAUUGUUUUUAUCUUGUUGAAUGCCUCUUCACAUUUUUCAGUCCAUCUAAAAUUGCAAUCUUUCUUUGUUAGUUCUCUUAAUGGUUGAGACACUUCGGCUAGAUUGUUCAAAAAUUUUGACAAAUACUGCACCAUUCCACAUAAUUUUCUUGCUUCCUGGCUAUUUUCUGGUUUCUUCAUUUCCAGAAUAGCUUUGAUCUUCUUUGUGUCAGGCUUUAUGCCUUGUGCACUAAUGCAGUGUCCCAUGAAACUUAUCUGGUCUUGUUUCUAUACUGUUUUCGUUUCAUUUGAUUUAAUGUGUUUCUCUCUUAAUCUCUUCAGUUUGUCAGAGUGAUCUUUUUCUGCUUCUUCUUUGAACUGACCACAUCCCACAAUCACGAUAUCAUCAGCCACAUUAAUGCAUCCUUCUAAUCCUAACAAUGCUUCUGUUAACUUCUUCUGGAAUAUUUCUCCACUUACACUUAGUCCAAAAGGAAGUCUUGACCAUCUGUACCACCCAUAUGGUGUGAUCAUGGUUGUUAGUAGACUAGACUUUUCAUCUAGACGUACAUGCCAGUAAGCCUCCUUUACGUCCAAUUUAUAAAAUAUUUUAGCAUUUAGGAACUGUGGCAUUACAGCUUCCAAAGUUGGUAACUUAAAAUGUUCUCUUUUUAAAGCAGUGUUUAGAUGUCUUGGUUCAAUGCAGAUCCUUAAAUCCCCAUUUGGCUUUUGAACCACAGCCAUCUGGCUGACCCAAUCUGUUGGUUCAUUUACAGGAAUUAAUAUUUUCCUUUUUACUAAUGUCUCUAUUUCUGCUUCCACUUUCUUUUGAAAUGCAAAUGGUAUAUUACGACAAGGUGAUACCACCGGAGCUAUGUUCUCAUUGAUAGUUAAUGAUGUCUCACCUAAAUCUCCCAGAUGACAAUCCAUUGUGUUUACUUGUGAUAUGAAUCUAUCUUCAUUUAAUGUGAUCAGACUUAAACUUUGGCAUGUUUUACGGCCUAAUAAGGAUUGAUAGUGGUUCUCUACAACUGUGAAUGUUAACAAAUAAUUCUUUUUGUUUUUAGGAUUUGUUAUUAUUAAGUUAGCAGUGCCCUCGGUUUUUAAUUUGGAAUUAUUCCAUAUUGUUAAUGUUUGAACACUCUUCUUAAUUUGUGUCUAACGUAUUUCUUACAUAUAAUGUUAACAUCUGCUCCUGUGUCCAGUUGAAAUCUUAUUUGUUGACUAUUUAUUAUGAAUAGUGCUGUCAUUCUGACCCUAUUUAUGUUUAACACAUUAAUUGAGUUUAAUUGUUCCUCUUGGUCAAAUUCAUCCAUUUCAUUAUGCAUAUGUAUUUUAUUCUUAGUCUUACACUUAACUGCAAAAUGAUUUUUGCCUUUGCUUUUAUUGCAAUUUUUUCCCCAAGCUGGGCAUGCUGUUCUGUUCACUGCAUGUCUGCCUCCACAAAACCAGCAAUCUAUUAGGUUGUUUCUGUUGUCAUUUUUCUUCUGUUCUAUCUUAUCUAUCUUCACAACAGUUUCCUUAUUUAUCUCUGCCAAUCCUUUUGCAGUUUGCUCGUAUGUUUGGCAUAUCUCUAUGCACUUCUUCAAGGUAAGAUCAUCGUGAUUCAGUAAUCUCUCCUGCAAUCUUUUCUCCACGGCGAAUAUAAUCUUGUCUCUAAUCAUUCUAUCCUUUUCUUUAAAAUUAAAUUUUUUAGCCUGAGCUCUAAGCUGCGUAAUGAACACAUCACAAGAUGACACCUUUUCUAUGUUCCAAAAUCUGAAACUUUCCAGAACUUCAUUUUUUCUGGGGUUGUAAUAGUCGCGUAAUUUCUUUAGUAAUAUUUGCGGGUCAUUUACGUCUUCAUUCUCAUCAUACUGCAACUGCUCACAAAUCUCUUGGUCCUGAAGUCCAGCACAAUGUAGUAUUAUUGCUUUUUGUAUGAUUUUAGGUUUUUCUUCAGCUCCUAUUGCUAACAGAAACAGUUCCACUUGUCUUCUCCAUUGGCGAAAGUUUUCACUGACAUUACCUUCAGUCACAUUUAACUCUGUUGGUGGUUUAAGUAGACCUUCUGCCAUCUUCCACAAAAACUUCACUAUAGUAUAUCUACCGUAACUGAAUAACCCAGAGCCUCUCUAUAUAUAUUCAAUAAUAUUCUAGACUGAGACUCUGGAAUCUACUAGAUUCUAGAUCUACACUUUAGAUCUAUUUAUUUUUUUUAAAUUUAACUAGAUUUAUAUCACUGAUAUAAAUCUAAAUAUAGUUCUUGUUACCGCUGCCACCAUGUUGAUUAUUAUGAACAAAUAAUAAUAAGACUCUGGAUAUAACUUAUAAGACAUGAAAUCAGCUGUAACACACAUCAACAGUAACUAUAAUAUAUUUGUAAAGUUAACAAUAGCUCUAAUAUAAGUGUUUGUAUAAAAUUAUGCAAUGACAUUUUAACAUGAGUUGUAAAUUGUUUUUUUUUAAGGCCCCUUCAUAUGUUGACCUAACAAAGUCAAAGUUGCCAAGGAGAGUUGAGUAAAUAGAAGCGCAAAAUUUUCAUUUAUUAACUUUUAAAGCAAUAACACAGAUGAAUGUUCAAGUAUCCACCUGACUGAUGAAUGUUCAAGUAUCCACCAGACAGAUGAAUGUUCAAGUAUCCACCAGAUAGAUGAAUGUUCAAGUAUCUACCAGACAGUUGAAUGUUCAAGUAUCCACUAGACAGAUGAAUGUUCAAGUAUCCACCAGACAGUUGAAUGUUCAAGUAUCCACUAGACAGAUGAAUGUUCAAGUAUCCACUAUUUCAUUAAUUAUCAUAUUUCUCUUUUAGGAAAAUGUUUCUGUUUUCACUUUAUUUAAUUUUGUACCAGUCUAGUAUUUUGUCGAGUUUGCCGUUUCUGUAGCAAUAGUGGUUUUACAGGGUGGGGUCACUAGCCCCAUGCCAAACCCUCCUCCUUUUUCAACCGGGCUUGGGACCGGCAGAUGGCAAAGUUAUAUUCUACGUCAAAAUGAAUUACGCACACCAAGAGUUGCGAUAACAUGGAAGCCAAAACGAGGAAAGCGCAAACAGGGACGUCUUUGUAUUACUUGGCGACAUACCUUCAUGGAGGACCUCAGAACAGUGGACACCAGGUGGGAGGAGGCUUCAGACAUUGCCAGUGACAGAUCUUUAUGGAGACAGCUUGCCGCCCAAUGCGCCGAACGGCGCUGGAGGACCUAAGUCUAAGUCUAAGUAAGUCUAGUAUUUUGUACCAUUGAAAAUUUAUAUUUUAUGUUAGUAAAAAAGAUGUUUGAAAAUUUGUAGCAAAAUUAUUUUUUUAAAAAUCUAUAUAUAUUUUAAAAUAUUAAUUUACUCAACCUUGGAAUCCUAUCACUGAACUGGGAAAGCUAGCUUUGAUUGUUUUUGUUAUUGUAAAUAGCCAUAUGGAUAGUGUGUAUAUUAUGCAAAGGUUGAUUAUUAGCUAUUAAGGUUGGAGUUUUCCUUUUUUUUUUUUACAUGAUUUCAAUGUUAAAUACCACUGUAGUUGUCUUUCUUAUAAUGAUGUUAUGAUGUGGUCUUGGUAUAUUUUUUCUGUGAUUAGAUGUUGUAACAUAUAGAUAUUGACAAUGUAAAAAGUUUAUAUACAACCAAGUUCAUACAUUAAUCUAUUUCACAAUCAUACAAACUAUAAACUGCGUAAAGCUUUUUGUUAUUAUUAAAAAUAUAAACUGUAAAGUAUUGGAUACUAAAAUUCAUUCUUCCCGAGCUAUAGUUUAUUGCAUCUUCGUUUUGUGUGUGCACAAUCUAUUGAAUUAAUAAUGUAAUUUUUUGUGAGAUGAUUUGUGUUGGUCACAUGUAUAUGUCAUUAGUUUCCAUCAUGAUUUUUUUAAAAGUAUUUGUGUAAAACCAGAGAGGUUUCAUUAAAUUUGUACUUUAUUAAUUUUUUAUUUUACAUUUUUGUUUAGUUUUAAUUUUAGUUAUAAGCUGAAUUUGUAUACAUAGCUAUGAUUUGAUUUGAUGGAAUUCUUCUUUUUUUAUAAAAUUUUACAUGGUCUAAGGUUUUUGAGUUCAUUGAAGCUUUUUUUCAAAACUGUCUGAAGAGUUGAACUGAAGGCUUGUAAAACUAUAGGCCAGCAAAAAAUAACAAAAGCUUCCUCUCACCAGCCUGACUGAAAUGAUUGUUCUGUCUGGAAGAGAUCCAAAUUGGUGUCUGUAUCACACUACUAUUUCCAAUGCUUCAGAAGCUCCAGGCACAGGGGCUAGAGAUUGGCAGACCGCUAAGCACACCAAGAACUCCUGCCAUCUUCCUUCUCUUUACCACACUCAACAAUCCCCAUUCCAUUUGUGAAACAGAAUGUUGGGAUUGUUGACAUGGUCAGAAGGGCUCUCUUCCCAACCAAGACUUGAGCAAUGCUCUUCCAUUCCUAAUGAAGUCUUGUUUUCUUACUUCCUUUAAGCCUAAUUGUUUUGACCGGGGGGGGGGGGGGGGGGCACUAUGUUGUAGACUGGCAUGUUUGCUUUCUGACAGCAUUGUAGAAUAAUUAUAUUGUAAUGAAAUAUUUUUCGAAUAAAAAAAUUAAAUUAAACAAAACCUACAUCUUGGCUAUUAAAAUCCAGGUUAAUACUGCUAUUUGUUAUAUGUUUGUGUCAAAGUCAUGAGAUGUAUAAAUUGGAUAAUUACAUAAACAUUGGUUUUGUGAAACAUCAGUAAAUUUUAUUUAUUGCCAUGCUAUAAAUGGCUUAGAAAGUUGAGUACUAGUUCAAUUUUAGAGAAAAUAAUAUUAGGUAGGGGAGACAAUAAAAGAGUUUUAAUAUGUUCAA